rnacentral:rRNA from 1 species
GACGAACGCUGGCGGCGUGCUUAACACAUGCAAGUCGAACGAUGAUCAGGAGCUUGCUCCUGUGAUUAGUGGCGAACGGGUGAGUAACACGUGAGUAACCUGCCCCUGGCUCUGGAUAAGCGUUGGAAACGACGUCUAGUACUGGAUAUGAUCACUGGCCGCAUGGUCUGGGGGUGGAAAGAUUUUUUGGUUGGGGAUGGACUCGCGGCCUAUCAGCUUGUUGGUGAGGUAAUGGCUCACCAAGGCGACGACGGGUAGCCGGCCUGAGAGGGUGACCGGCCACACUGGGACUGAGACACGGCCCAGACUCCUACGGGAGGCAGCAGUGGGGAAUAUUGCACAAUGGGCGAAAGCCUGAUGCAGCAACGCCGCGUGAGGGAUGACGGCCUUCGGGUUGUAAACCUCUUUUAGUAGGGAAGAAGCGAAAGUGACGGUACCUGCAGAAAAAGCACCGGCUAACUACGUG